AAGAUUUUAAGUUAAAUAAAACUCUUAGCCUUCAAAGCUAAAAAUAAAUCAAAUUUAAAUCUUA
rnacentral:tRNA from 1 species